CCUACGGGAGGCAGCAGUGGGGAAUAUUGCACAAUGGGGGAAACCCUGAUGCAGCGACGCCGCGUGAGUGAAGAAGUAAUUCGUUACGUAAAGCUCUAUCAGCAGGGAAGAAAUACUGACCUUACGGUCAGCAGACGGUACCUGAGUAAGAAGCCCCGGCUAACUACGUUCCAGCAGCCGCGGUAAUACGUAGGGGUCAAGCGUUAUCCGGAUUUACUGGGUGUAAAGGGAGCGUAGACGGUGCGCCAAGUCUGGAGUGAAAUCCCGGGGCUUAACCCCGGAACUGCUUUGGAAACUGGGCGGCUGGAGUGCAGGAGGGGUAGGCGGAAUGCAUAGUGUAGCGGUGAAAUGCGUAGAUAUUAGGAGGAACACCGGUGGCGAAGGCGGCUUACUGGGCUGUAACUGACGUUGAGGCUCGAAAGCGUGGGGAGCAAACAGGAUUCGAUACCCUUGUAGUC
rnacentral:rRNA from 1 species